AACGAACGUUAGCGGCGCGCCUAACACAUGCAAGUCGAACGCGAGAGGGGCAACUCUCUUGAGUGGCGCACGGGUGAGUAACACGUAGGUAAUCUUCCCCCGAGUGGUGGAUAACCUUCCGAAAGGAGGGCUGAUACAGCAUAAGACCACGGCCUCGAAAGAGGCUGAGGUCAAAGCGGAGGAUCGCAAGACUUCGCGCUUGGGGAUGAGCCUGCGGCCCAUCAGGUAGUUGGCGGGGUAACAGCCCACCAAGCCUAAGACGGGUAGCUGGUCUGAGAGGAUGAUCAGCCACACUGGAACUGAGACACGGUCCAGACUCCUACGGGAGGCAGCAGUGGGGAAUCUUGCGCAAUGGACGAAAGUCUGACGCAGCGACGCCGCGUGGGUGAUGAAGGCCUUCGGGCUGUAAAGCCCUGUGGGGAGGGACGAAUAAGUUCCGGUUAAUACCCGGAGCAAUGACGGUACCUCCUUAGCAAGCACCGGCUAACUCUGUGCCAGCCGCCGCUGUAAAAC
rnacentral:rRNA from 1 species